rnacentral:rRNA from 1 species
GUGACGAGCGGCGGACGGGUGAGUAAUGUCUGGGAAACUGCCUGAUGGAGGGGGAUAACUACUGGAAACGGUAGCUAAUACCGCAUAACGUCGCAAGACCAAAGAGGGGGACCUUCGGGCCUCUUGCCAUCAGAUGUGCCCAGAUGGGAUUAGCUAGUAGGUGGGGUAACGGCUCACCUAGGCGACGAUCCCUAGCUGGUCUGAGAGGAUGACCAGCCACACUGGAACUGAGACACGGUCCAGACUCCUACGGGAGGCAGCAGUGGGGAAUAUUGCACAAUGGGCGCAAGCCUGAUGCAGCCAUGCCGCGUGUAUGAAGAAGGCCUUCGGGUUGUAAAGUACUUUCAGCGGGGAGGAAGGCGAUGAGGUUAAUAACCUCGUCGAUUGACGUUACCCGCAGAAGAAGCACCGGCUAACUCCGUGCCAGCAGCCGCGGUAAUACGGAGGGUGCAAGCGUUAAUCGGAAUUACUGGGCGUAAAGCGCACGCAGGCGGUCUGUCAAGUCGGAUGUGAAAUCCCCGGGCUCAACCUGGGAACUGCAUUCGAAACUGGCAGGCUAGAGUCUUGUAGAGGGGGGUAGAAUUCCAGGUGUAGCGGUGAAAUGCGUAGAGAUCUGGAGGAAUACCGGUGGCGAAGGCGGCCCCCUGGACAAAGACUGACGCUCAGGU